AUCCCCUAGUAACUGCGAGUGAAGCGGGAAAAGCUCAAAUUUAAAAUNNNGGUCUUCUGGCCGUCCGAGUUGUAGUCUGGAGAAGCGUUUUCCGNGUUGGCCCGUGUACAAGUUUCCUGGANCGGAGCGUCAUAGAGGGUGAGAAUCCCGUCUUUGACACGGACCCCAAUGCUUUGUGAUGCGCUCUCAAAGAGUCGAGUUGUUUGGGAAUGCAGCUCAAAAUGGGUGGUGAAUUCCAUCUAAAGCUAAAUAUUGGCGAGAGACCGAUAGCGAACAAGUACCGUGAGGGAAAGAUGAAAAGCACUUUGGAAAGAGAGUUAAACAGUACGUGAAAUUGUUGAAAGGGAAACGCUUGAAGUCAGUCGCGUCNUCCGGGACUCANCCUUGCAUCCGCUUGGUGUACUUUCCGGUCGACGGGCCAGCAUCAGUUUUGACCGCGAGAUAAAGGCGGAGGGAAUGUGGCUCUUUCGGGAGUGUUAUANCCCUUCGUCAGAUGUCNCGGUUGGGACUGAGGAACUCAGCACNCCUUUAUGGCCGGGGUUCGCCCACGUACGUGCUUAGGAUGCUGGNGUAAUGGCUUUAAACGACCCGUCUUGAAACACGGACCANGGAGUCUAACAUGCCUGCGAGUGUUCGGGUGGAAAACCCGUGCGCGCAAUGAAAGUGAAAGNNGGGAUCCCUGUCGNGGGGNGCACNGACGCCCGGNCCAGACCUUUUGUGACGGCNCUGCGGUAGAGCAUGUAUGUUGGGACCCGAAAGAUGGUGAACUAUGCCUGAAUAGGGNGAAGCCAGAGGAAACUCUGGUGGAGGCUCGUAGCGAUUCUGACGUGCAAAUCGAUCGUCAAAUUGGGUAUAGGGGCAAACGACUAAUCGAACCAUCU
rnacentral:rRNA from 1 species